ACGGGGUGCAGCAGGCGCGAAAACUCCGCAAUGCGCGCAAGCGCGACGGGGCUACCCCGAGUGCCGUCCGCUGAGGAUGGCUUUUCUCUGGUGUAAUGAGCCAGAGGGAUAAGGGGAGGGCAAGCCUGGUGUCAGCCGCCGCGGUAAUACCAGCUCCUCGAGUGGUGGGGAUGUUUAUUGGGCCUAAAGCGUCCGUAGCCUGCUCGGCAAGUCCUCCGUUAAAUCCAACGAUCUAAUCGUUGGGCUGCGGGGGAUACUGCAGGGCUAGGGGGCGGGAGAAGUCGACGGUACUCUUGGGGUAGGGGUGAAAUCCUAUAAUCCCAGGAGGACAACCAGUGGCGAAGGCGGUCGGCUAGAACGCGCCCGACGGUGAGGGACGAAAGCUGGGGGAGCGAUCCGGAUUAGAUACCCGGGUAGUCCCAGCUGUAAACGAUGCAGGCUAGGUGUUAGUGUGACUACGAGUCGCGCUAGUGCCGCAGGGAAGCCGUUAAGCCUGCCGCCUGGAAGUACGUCGCAAGAC
rnacentral:rRNA from 1 species